GCCUCUGCACAAAUGAGCAUGCUCUCUCCUACACUAAAAAGUACAUAUACUACACUCAAUACAGAGAGACAGAGACAGACAGAGAGCACUACACACACACACACACACACACACACACACACACACAGUGUUUACCAUUUCAGGCUAGUAAUCAUUUUCAGUGUCCUUUAGGAUCAACAGAGACAUUUCCAAGACAUUUUUAAAUGACACCUUCCUUUAUUAAUACAACCCUUAGGGAAUGUAAAGUGGGUAGUAUUUACCGGCAUGUUAUUUAAGUUGCGGGGAAAUCUAGUCCCCAAAAGAGUAUUCUCUGGCCUGGAUCCUCGAUGAGACUUUUCCAUGCAUCUUGUCAAGGUUAAAUCAGCGGCCCAAUGUUUCUGUGCUUUGUCAAAAAAGACUUUUUUUUCCUCCUGGUUGUGUAGGUCUGAAUGUAAGGGCUUCAUCUUACAAGUCAAUUUCACAUCCUGCCUUGAGGCUGUCUGUUUUGCACUUCCCCGAUGUUAUAAGUCUUGUUUACUGAUUUUGUGCCUGACUCCGAAAAUUUAUGACCUGGGAAGAAAUGCCAGCCAAGACUCAAUCGGCAAUUUAUUUUCAGCGCACUGUGAGUGAGACACCAAAGAAACAUUCAGAAGUAUGGCACCUUGAAAGAAGUGUGGGGCGUUUUUCUCCUUUUGAGUGAAGUUCUGCAUACAUGCUAGUAGUUCGUAAUGGAACUGAGUGUUAUUGCCUACAGAGCUCCACCGUGUACCCAUUACCGAAUUGUUAGGGCUUUGCCUAGCCUCAGCGAUGACAUAACAGCAACACCACAAGCUUACUAUUACUGACGUCAAUCAUGUGACCCCAAAAGCGAGUGGCUGGAGCAAGGGUCAUAGAUGCUAACAUGAAUACACUAGAGGCUGUCUGGUCAAAUUGGAUAUGUAUCUGGUGUGUGUGAGCUUCAUGAAAUCUCUUUUGAACAAAAGUGUUCUGUUUAGAUUUGGAUGUUGUUUUUUCUUACUCUACUUAGGCCUUCUUCACAAAUGUUUAUUGCCACCUAUAUUGUAUCUUCUUUUUUUUUAAUAUUUUAUUUAUUUACUUUAUGUAUGUAAGUACACUGUAGCUGUCUUCAGACACACCAGAAGAGGGCAUCAAUCCCAUUACAGAUGGUUGUGAGCCACCAUGUGGUUGCUGGGAUUUGAACUCAGGACCUCUGGAAGAGCAGUCGGUGCUCUUAACCACUGAGCCAUCUCUCCAGCCCUAUUGUAUCUUCAAAAAGAUGUUUCCUGCUCACUGUCUAAGUCCUUCCAGCCUUGAUCUUAUCUCUCACCCAUUUAAUCAUAUAGUUUCUUAAUUCUAGAACAUUUCUAGGAAAAAAAAAACAGUAUAAGAUGGGAAUCUAAGCAGAAUUUAGUGGCCCUGAUAUUUCGAUGCAUUCUAGUCUUGACAAAUGAACCGAAUUAUAAAGACAAUGUUUAAGCAGUCACUCUUGUAGCCAUGACAGAGUCGGAAAAAUGUGCCACCUCUUGCUAAUUAACUGUUGUUUCUUUUGUUUACUGAGUUUUAAUUUCCUGCUUAUGAAAGGGAUUUGUCAUUAAAGAUCCGCUGCUCUAUUCAAUUAGUGUGCCGAGAAAGCUCAGAAGGGAGGCAAACUGGAUUGUCUAAUUACCUAAGUUGUGCUAACUAGCCCCACGUGGUAAAGCCCUCUACCCUUUGCAAACCUUGAAUUCAUAGCCUCUCAAAUUAGCAGUUGCUUUCGGUUGCAAGGUCCUAAUGAAGGAGACUGUCAUCUGCCCACAUCCGCCUGGGUUCACAGCGAUGCUGUUAACGAGGCCUCUAGAGGGCGAUCCUUCCUAAUUUUCUUAGGCUCUGGGUCUAGAGGCAGGGGCUGGAGUGCUCACCGUCUCAAACCGGGUAACCAUCGCCCGUUGAGGGUCACAAAACAGAAAAUGUCACUCAGGCUUCUAAGUUGCCUGUGUGGCACAUCAACAACGCACUUGUCAGUUCUCACACCAUCGUCUUCCACUGCCAUUCCUUCAUCGAUACAAUGUUGAUUCAGGGAAGUACCAUCCAUCCGUGUAGCGAACCAUGCCAUCUUCCUCGGGGUACUUUAUCUUCAUGAUCCAUAUGAACAUACUAAUUCAUUACAUGUCCCACCUGGAGGAUGAUGUCACAGGUGAGGCAGGUACAGGAUAGAAGGAGGCCUGUCAUUGGAGGAGAAGGAAGGAUGGGCGGGAGAUAAGUUUGAAGGAAGGGGAGGAGACUAAGGGAGAGGGAGAAGGAGACGGAGAGAGGGGAGAAGCCAUGGCAGGUGAUGUUAAGAUUCUGCUCUGUGUAUUUACAGCAAAAUCAAAAUGCUUGGGAACCAUAUCUAGCUCCCUUCUGAGAGACACAGCCAAAAUACGGCAAAUACAUAGACGAAUGCCAGCAGCAAACCACUGAACUGAGACCAGGACCGCUGUUGAAGGAUUCGGAGAAAGGACUGGAAGAGCUUGAAGGGGCUCGAGACCCCAUAUGAACAACAAUGCCAAGCAACCAGAGCUUCCAGGGACUAAGCCACUACCCAAAGACUAUACAUGGACUGACCCUGAGCUCCAACUGCAUAGGUAACAACGAAUGGCCUAGUAACAGCACCAGUGGAAGGGCAAGCCCUUGGUCCUGCCAAGACUGAACCCCCAGUGAACGUGAUUGUUGGGGGGGAGGGCAGAAAUGGAGGGAGGGUCGGGAGGGGAACACCUAUCGAGAAGGGGAGGGGGAGGGGUUAUGGGGAUGUUGGCCUGGAAACCGGGAAAGGGAAUAACAAUUGAAAUGUAAAUAAGAAAUACCCAAGUUAAUAAAGAUGGAGGAAAA